UUUUGCUACAUUGUUUCUUAUCAAAAUGUAUAACCCACAGCUUCCAUUUACACCUCUAUCAGAAAUUUGUAUAUGUCUUCCUUGUGCUUAACAGUCAGGUCUGCUGUCCCUCUAGUAGCAGUAGUAGAAGAGAGAAUUUCAGAUAACUACUUAAUUUUGUUUCACUCAGAAUGCUCCCAGCAUCUCUUUCUCCUGCUCCCCCCCCCAGUCAAAGGAGAGUUUGUAAACUCUUUCAGGCAGGGGCUCUCUCCUUGUUCUCUUUGUACAGUGCCUUGCGCAAAGGGGGCCUGGUCCAAGGCACUGUGAUAACACAAAUAUUCAAGUAAUCAUAACUAUGUAUGGCCCAUUUCAGCUGGACACACAUCUACUGAAGACCAUAACUUCUCUUUAAGUAAAUUAGCCAGGCCACCAGCUGGGAAUAUGUUUUGAGAGUGGGUUGGGUGGUUUCUGAAUUCAGCCACCCAGAGGGAAAAUGAGAAUUUAAAGACUUCUAUGAGCGCACACUUCAGCAGAAGCACAAAACACCCUUUCAGAUCUGUGGUUAAGCCCUGUUGGCAAUUGAGCUGCAAUUUCAAUCAGCGUGGGUGGGUGGGUGUGUAUUAGUUGCUAUACUUAGGAUAUCUAAAUUCUGUGUCUCAUGGAUUUCUAAAGCUUCAGUUUCUUCUUCCUGAGUACUUUAUCAGGGUGCACACACAGAAUACCCAGGUGGUGGUGUCAUGUUUUCUGGGUUUUAUUAACAACCUCAACCCCUCAUAAACCUUUGUUUACUCUGGGCAUAAUAUCAAUUUGUGACAUCAGGAGUGAGAAAUAUCUAACCCCUGGUAGGGGAGCGGGAGUCUUUGUUCCCCUCUAGUGGCUAGUCUGCAUAAAAGGUAGUGAUUCUGUUACAGCAGCUAUCCAGAGAGGUCAGGUCUUUAGCUCAAGCAGAAAAGGUUCAUGAUUUUAGCACUGAAGGGCCUAGGCUCAAACCCCAGUGAUGGUCCAAGUAGAACAGAUUGUGUUCAGCAGCAAAUUGAGUAUAGAUCAGGGUUUAAUUACAGUUUCUGAAAUGGUGCUAAACCUGGCUGUCCUUGGCCAGGCUUGCAGCUAAGUCAGGUUUUACUGCACUUGUUCCUGACAGCUGCUGUUGGAAACAGAUACUUCCUAUAGUGUAGUCAAGGUUCAUAACACUGUCUUCUAAAAAGUUAAGCAAAAAUCCAGUCUACUAUCAAACCUGAUGCUUGCUCCAGAUGCCUAUGGAAGAAUACACACUAGAUCUCUUGUUGGAGUUUAUGAUCACAGGACACAGGCUGCUCAAGUACUCAAUGAAAGGAAAUCGGACCAUCCGAAAGCUGUGAUCCACAGGACGUAGAGAUCCCAAGCCUAGCAACAGUGUCCAAGCAGAGCAGCAGUUAAAGGGUUGUUUUUUUAAAAUAGUUCAGGGACAGCUGGGUAAAUGUUAGAGCCCAGAGAAGUGGGAACUGAAACAGUUUCAACAGUGCUAGCAGGAACUUAAGGCAGUAGUCGACAGCUCAGGAGAACAGUGUCUCUGAAACAUUUGUGGCUAAUCCACUUCAAUGCAGCAGUGCCAGGAGACUCAAGGGUCGACAGAAGGCUAGAAAAACCAGAUGCUGUGAGGAGACCUCUUGCCCAAAGAUGGGAGAUCAGCAAUGGAAGUGUGAAGAGUAUUUGGUUGUUCCUGUUCUGGCUGCCCCGUACCUGAUGGAGAGCUUGCUUUGCAGAGACAUUUAGAGGUAAAAAAUUCCAAGUCUGAUUUGCUCUCAGUACACUGGUUUUACACAGGUAUCACUGCAGCUAUUCCUGAUUGACACCAGUAUACGUGAAUUCAGUAUACAUGCCAGGAAUCAGAGGCACUGACAUUCUAUUUUUAAGUGUACGCGCCUUACAUUGAAAUAGCCCCCAUGCACAGCCUACUUCAGAAUAAUUGAUGUUUUUAGAGGGAGCAGAUUCCGUGAAAGUUUGUGCCUAACUUUGAUAGCCAGAGCACAUGUACAUCCUAACACUGAUCUCACAAAGUUUAUGUGCAACCCAAUUAUGUGCAAGGGAAGUUUCACCCCAUGAUUUGAAAUUGCAUUUAUUAUCCUUUUUUUUUUUUUUUUUUUUAAAGAAUUUUGAAGGAUUAAAUAAAUUUUUCACGGAACUGCUCAAUAAUUUGCUAUGUGCUUCUGAGGGCAGAAACUAAAGCAAUUUAAGGUCAGCUUAGAAAUGUAAGUGUGGCACAUUUUGCUUCUGUUUGAUUGACAUUGCUAUUCCAAGCACCUGAUUUUUUUUUUUAAGAAAGCAGUUAGGCCCAAGUGGACACAUACGCUGUGGCUUCAGGCACUGAAAACCCAAUGGCAUUUGGGUUUAGGCUGUGCGUGUCUGUGAAGAGCCAUGACUGGGAGUGAAACUUCAUAAUAGAACACUUGCACCCCGGUUCUUUCUUCUCUGAGAGGCAGCAUUGCACCUGCCUGCAGAUGAGUGUUGCAAUGUGUCGCCAGGGGAAUCAAGGAGAGCAAUACAUGCAUCUAAACAAGUAUUCCCCACUUUCUAUCCAGAGUCCCACAUGCCUUCCUCAGUUCUGUUCCUGGAUUGAACAAUUAGUUUGUGUGAACUCCUGAGAAACUGGAAUAUGAGUACAAUUUGAAAUGGCAAAACAGAAUUCAUAUGCAGCCAUUUUGGGACAAAAGGAAGCAAACAAUGUGGUGCUUUUAUUUAUACAGUUCCUAUACAUUUUGUCCCAUCUGCAUUGCUUGCAUAAAGCAGAUAAAAUAUUUUAAUACAGUAAGUAAUGCAGGUGAAACACAAAUUGAUCAGAUUUGGUGUUACAAAGAAAGCACCAUAUUUUAACUGGAAACAAAUAUCCAUCCCUUGGAUUUCACGAGAAUGGGAUUGUGUUCUAAGAAAAAUCAAUGAAAUAUUCAAGCAGAAAAACGUAAUUGUGCCUCUCUUUGAUUUUGAGUCUGAUAGUGAUUGAAAAUACAUUUCAGGAGUUCUUAAAGCACAUAUAAUUUCUGAUUCACUGCCAAAAAGAAGAAACUUGUCACAUUAUUGCUAAGUACAAAGAACAGAAGAAAGUAGAUACUAAUUUAUUCAAUAUGUUGUUGUACAACAAUGUUGUAAAAUAAGAAGCUUGGGGAAGAAGGGGAAGCUGCAAAUACAAAGCGUGGAAGCAUACCCAGGGCAAUACUAGUUUGCAGAAGGCCAAAGGGAUGAUGAACUGAACAGAAAGAGCAAUGGGGAGUUGGAUAUUGGGGAACAGGAGCUCACAAACUGGAAGAAAAAAAAUCAAAAGUUGAUUAAAUUAAUCCUAAAGUGAAACCAUGAAGACAGCGGAGGAAAGUCUUGAGGAAAAGGUUGGGGCAGGGCAAGAGGGAAAUGAGGAUUGGAAAAAAGCAACAGGUUCUAGCAGGUUGCAGAUACACAAAAAGAAGAUUUGUGAGGGGGAAAGUCCCAAAAGGGAAAAAAAGCGGGGGAGGUCUAUAAAAGAGUCACAAACCCUGAAAGAAUCAAAAAGGAACACAAUGAAAAAUUUAUCUCUAUUAAAAAUACAGAGAUAGAUCUUCAUAUUUCAAAUUCUCUCUGCCUGCAUAAAAUAGACACAGGGCCUGAUUUCCCUGGCUGUUCUGGAGACAGAAGCUUCCCAGGAGUGGGGGAACAGGGCAAGCUGGUGCAGUCCAGUAGUGGUGGGGCCAACUGGUUGGGAGAGAUGCUGCUUAAUCAGCACAUUCUGCUCAGGUAGUAUCCUCCAAUCCUGCUUGUGUGGAGUCCUUAAUCUGAAUUUAAAACUGCAGACGAGGUAGAAUCCUCAGAUGAGGUCAUCCUGGUAGAAAGUUAUCCCCUGCCCCACUGCCCUCCCCCAGGGGCAAAUCGCCCCUGAAGUUCAGCAACUCCAUAGGCACAAAGCAUGUGUGUGUGUGCACAUGCAAUUUGCACCUUCUAUGCUUGUGGCAGAGAACCCAUGGGUGUGCAUGCAUGCACACACAUAUAUAUCGUUGUUAGUAGUGCCCUGUGGUAAAAGUUUAGGGUGGAGACCCAGCUGAUCAAAUUUCUUUGCUUCGCUGUACAGCAACCUGCUAUGUCUUAGAUAAUGCUAAUGGCACUUCCUGAAGAAUAAUGCUGUUUUCCUACUUUUCUCCCCAUACAUACUGCACAACACACAGGACUGAACAAGAUAGGACUUCCGCAAUGGUUUUGAAAAACAAGAUUGAUUAUGCUGAAGUCAAUGGUGGAUUGUCAUGAGUUGAUUAAAAAAAUCAAUUCAUUUAGUUUAAUCCACAUCUGCACCGGCCUCCCCCCAAAAAACCUUUUACAUUUUAACAUGUCAAAUAUUUGAAAGAACAAUAAGUGCCCAGAUGUGCAAAACUGAACAGUGGGCAGACACCAAGCAUGAAUGUGGACCAACAUGAUUUAAUUUAGAGCAAAGAGAAAAUGCAGUAAUACAGUUGAGCUACAUGGAGAAUGGCAUUGAUUAAAAAAGGGAAGAGGUAUUUUUGUGGGUGCAGCACUAGUUUGCUAGGAGCUUCAUGCUACCUUAGACCUUUAAUUUGACCUAUUUUUGGUCUCAUUUGUAGCUGACAAAAGCAUGAGUGAAAUUUAUCUUGUAACUCUCUAAAGGGCAGGAGAGGAAUUGGAACUAUUAAAUGUUGGGACGUAGGCUGUUGGAGAUGCAGUAACCAAAUCAUUAUAAUUUUUGAAUUAUUUUGGAUUCCCCAAAUUUACAUGCCUAAAGAAAAGGGUGGCAGAUAUGACUCUGUAUGUUAGCGGCACUUCAGAUGCGAUUGAGAGCGGUCGAGGAUACUGGUUGUUAACAUAUUUUGAAUUGAGAAUCCAUUGACUCGGCAAAAGAGAGAGAGAGAGAGAGAGAGAGAUGUGUUUGCUCUGUAGAGUUGCUUCUCCACAGAGCGUCAACCCAGAAAAAAAUGAUGGGACAUAAAAGCUUCAUAAUUUAAAGAUGAAUUUGGAAAUAGACCAUAAAAUUCAGGACAGGAUCAUAAAAACAACAGAUUCUAGCUCAUUGCAUUGCUCAGAGUGUCCGAGAAAGAAUGGUAUGGCCACUAGGCGAAGAUUUGAAAAUAUAAUCUACCAGGAAAAUUAGCAAGUGUUAUGUUUCUUUUAUUUUAGGCUUUUUCCCUAGCGAAGUCCCGUUGGCCUCAAUUCAGCAGGGUACUCAAGCAUUUGUCUACAUUUAAAAUUAAGCAUGUGCUGACAUAUAUUACUGAAUCUGUACCCUGGAGAAGAACCAUAGCUCAUCUGAGCCCUGAUUUAAGCCCAUUAAAGUCAAUGGGAGGCUGGUGUGAUUGGGCAAAAUUCUACUUUGUUAUACUGGUGUAAAUGAAGAGUAAUUAAAGUGGACUUACAUCCCUGUAACAGAGAUGAGAUUUUUUUCCUCCUAAUCAUUCUGUCAAAUGCGUCCCUUCAACCAGCUUAUAUAGAAAUAGAUAUCUGAUUGAUUGGUUUAUUUUAAACUGAGUAUAGUAGAUGUCAACACCACUAGAAUUAUGUUACUAAACCUUGAUGACCCUGCAUUAUUUACAUGUCUCAGAGGCUUACCCAACUGACUUAUACUUGUAAAGAUAACUUCUACAAAAUGACAUUUUAACUUUGUCUUGUAAAUAAAAUAUUUUUAACACCUAUUGGGUACUUGGUUUGCGAUUUAAACCAUGGGAGUUCACCUGUUUAUAUUUUCCAGUCUGGGGUAAGAAGAAAGUUUAUUAUUUAUGGUAUAAAAACAAAUUACAUGUGGGGGCACAGAUUAAAUUGGUAGGGAAUAGUAAAAUUCACGGUUAUGAAAGAAGACUGAGAAAAGAGAGGUGUUGAUUGGAUGUUAGGAAGAUUUUUCUCCCUGUGUUGUUGGGAUAGGGAAUAGAUGGUAGAUGUUGAUGCUACAAGCCUCAAGGAACAGAAAUGCAAGUUCUGUGCUAGAGAACUUACUGGGAAUUCUUCAGGCAGAGCAUUUUCAGGAUCAGUCUCCGAGUGUGGUAUAGAAGAGUGUCUGACAGUUCAUGGCAGAUACACAGACAUGCAAAUACCAUGGUGAUGACUGUGGUUCAGGAAUAAGGGGAAAAAAGAAGGCAGGAAAUGGAUUUGUGGUUUUUUCCAUCCAAAUUUCAUACAUUCCUGUGGUCUUCCAAAAUACUAUGCACUCUUCUGGGGGCCGUUACGGGCACUUACUUCCGCAACUAGACAGACAUAUGUGUCCAAUAAAUAUAGUAUGUUAAUACAUUCAUUCCAGAUUAGAAGCUUGGGGGUCCAAUCCUGAAGUUCUUCAAAGUGUUAGCCAACACACACACACACACACACUGAAAUAGGUAUUACAUAUAUUGAACUAAUAUCGUAUAUAUUGUAACAAAUAUGAAUGUUGGGUAGUUAGGCUAACUUGACUUGUAUCAUGUUCUUCCCAUAAUUCUGUUCAUCACACAAACACUUUGCAAAGCUGGAGUCAGCUCUGGUGCCGGCAAAUAUGAAACCUGUUAAAGACCAGAUAUGUUUUUUCUGUGUCCUGGUAAAGGUAGAGAGUGCCUUCACAGCCUGUCACCCUUGGAAUUUAGUGUCCAAAUCAAGAGACAAGAAAGGUAAACCGUGAUACAAGGAGAAACAAGGUAAAAAACUGAUGGGUGACUUUUAGUCUUGGGUAACAUAUAGAGUGUUUUUAGCUUGUAAGCUGCCAUGCUAUAAAUAUGGCUGGUUUUGAAUGCAUACUUUGGAGUACACCCGUGUAAGGUAAACUAAAUGCUGAGAGAACCACUUUCGGGAAGGAGUGGUGUGCAUACCUCCGUUUCAUAUGGUACUACUUUGUCUUUAGACAAUGAAUAUUUGGACUCUUGAAUGUUUUUAAUAUUGAACCGCAAGUGUAGUCAAGCAAUUGGCUAUACUUGAGACAAUAGAAGGCAAAAUUCCCUUGUCUCCUUGCGAAUGAGACACUUAACUAUGUCACGACUGGAGGAAUGUUUCUACCUCUCAAAGCUAUGCUUAGCGGAGCAUAGAAGUCAUUUGCUCCAGCCAGUCAACACAGUUACUUUUAAACUUCCCCCUAAAAUCCAUUAUUUAUAGCGGUGAGCCCAUUUAACUCUAGGGACUCCAUAAGCAUUCAGAAACAACUAAGGUCUGUUCCAUAUGCUGACUUCCAUUCCAGGGCUCCCUGUCCCUGGGAGAUACUGAGCACCUUCUGAGAGAGGCUGAGCUGGCUUGAAUGGGGUAAGAGGGUGUUCAGCGCACCACAGGAGUUGCUCAGCACUGCAAAUCAGCUUCAGAACAGAAAACGGAUGCCUUACUGUGAAUCACAUUGGCCCAAAUCAGGAUGGCAUGAAAUAGUGGUACUUAAGGGAUACUUACAUGGAACUUGAAGGGGAGUAGAUAAUGCCAGUAACAGGGAAGAAAAUCUAAUCAAGUACAGGAGUUUUGUAUUCAUGUAACAAGAUAAUAUCGAAAACUGUCACAAUAUUUGGUUAAAGCAAGAACCAUGGUCCAUUAGCAGCAGGAAAAAGCUUAAUUUGUUUAUUAAACCCCAAACUGUGUGUUUGCAAAAAAAUAAUAAACCCUGAUUCGCUUCUUCCUUUCUUUGUCGUAUUGUUAACCCUGAGAUAACUGCCACAGCAAACACUGAACUGUUUUGCUUUUGGGGGGUUAUUUUGCUCCUCAUGUCACUUGCUGUCUGGAUGGUGUGGACAUGUGGUAUGUUCCCAUACGCAUUCCCUGGGCACUAUAUAAAGUGCCAGCAUUAUAAUUCGCACCGAGAAGAUUGUAUAAAAUCUGAGAACAUGAGAAAGAGCUGCUAAAGCUGAAUGGCCCGUGUUGAAGAAGAAGAA